UUUGAAUUGUAGAUAAUCUCUUA
rnacentral:piRNA from 1 species